GACGAACGCUGGCGGCGUGCUUAACACAUGCAAGUCGAACGGAAAGGCCCUGCUUUUGUGGGGUGCUCGAGUGGCGAACGGGUGAGUAACACGUGAGUAACCUGCCCUUGACUUUGGGAUAACUUCAGGAAACUGGGGCUAAUACCGGAUAGGAGCUCCUGCUGCAUGGUGGGGGUUGGAAAGUUUCGGCGGUUGGGGAUGGACUCGCGGCUUAUCAGAUUGUUGGUGGGGUAGUGGCUUACCAAGGCUUUGACGGGUAGCCGGCCUGAGAGGGUGACCGGCCACAUUGGGACUGAGAUACGGCGCAGACUCCUACGGGAGGCAGCAGUGGGGAAUAUUGCACAAUGGGCGGAAGCCUGAUGCAGCAACGCCGCGUGCGGGAUGACGGCCUUCGGGUUGUAAACCGCUUUCGCCUGUGACGAAGCGUGAGUGACGGUAAUGGGUAAAGAAGCACCGGCUAACUACGUG
rnacentral:rRNA from 1 species